AGCGAACGCUGGCGGCAGGCUUAACACAUGCAAGUCGAGCGGGCAUCCUUGUGGUGUCAGCGGCAGACGGGUGAGUAACGCGUGGGAACGUGCCCUUCGGUUCGGAAUAACUCAGGGAAACUUGAGCUAAUACCGGAUACGUGCGAGAGCAGAAAGGUUUAUCUGCCGAAGGAUCGGCCCGCGUCUGAUUAGCUAGUUGGUGAGGUUAUGGCUCACCAAGGCGACGAUCAGUAGCUGGGCUGAGAGGAUGAUCAGCCACACUGGGACUGAGACACGGCCCAGUCUCCUACGGGAGGCAGCAGUGGGGAAUAUUGGACAAUGGGGGCAACCCUGAUCCAGCCAUGCCGCGUGAGUGAUGACGGCCUUAGGGUUGUAAAGCUCUUUUCUCCGGGACGAUAAUGACGGUACCGGAGGAAUAAGCCCCGGCUAACUUCGUG
rnacentral:rRNA from 1 species